rnacentral:rRNA from 1 species
UACGUAGGGGGCUAGCGUUGUCCGGAAUCACUGGGCGUAAAGGGCGCGUAGGCUGCGGGGCAAGUCGGGUGUGAAAUCUCAGAGCUCAACUCUGAAACUGCACUCGAUACUGCUUUGCUUGAGGACUGGAGAGGAGAUUGGAAUUCACGGUGUAGCAGUGAAAUGCGUAGAUAUCGGGAGGAACACCGGUGGCGAAGGCGGUUCUCUGGGCCUUACCUGGACGCUGAGGAGCGAAAGCGUGGGGAGCGAACAGGAUUAGAA